rnacentral:rRNA from 1 species
GUGUCAGCAGCCGCGGUAAUACGGAGGAUGCGAGCGUUAUCCGGAUUUAUUGGGUUUAAAGGGUGCGUAGGCGGAUCAAUAAGUCAGAGGUGAAACCCUGCAGCUUAACUGUAGACUUGCCUUUGAUACUGUUGGUCUUGAGUGUGGUCAAGGUAGGCGGAAUGUGUAAUGUAGCGGUGAAAUGCUUAGAUAUUACACAGAACACCGAUUGCGAAGGCAGCUUGCUGGACCAUUACUGACGCUGAUGCACGAAAGCGUGGGGAUCGAACAGGAUUAGAUACCCUGGUAGUCCACGCCGUAAACGAUGAUCACUCGCUGUUGGCGAUACACAGUCAGCGGCUAAGCAAAAGCAUUAAGUGAUCCACCUGGGGAGUACGGCCGCAAGGCUGAAACUUAAAGGAAUUGACGGGG